rnacentral:rRNA from 1 species
UACGGAGGGGGCUAGCGUUGUUCGGAAUUACUGGGCGUAAAGCGCACGUAGGCGGCUUUGUAAGUUAGAGGUGAAAGCCCAGGGCUUAACCCUGGAAUUGCCUUUAAGACUGCAUCGCUAGAAUCGUGGAGAGGUGAGUGGAAUUCCGAGUGUAGAGGUGAAAUUCGUAGAUAUUCGGAAGAACACCAGUGGCGAAGGCGACUCACUGGCCCAUUACUGACGCUGAGGCGCGAAAGCGUGGGGAGCAAACAGG